rnacentral:lncRNA from 1 species
GGGCGAUCAACCAAUUUUUUUUGCUUUCUUCUUAAUUAUGUCUCAUGUGCAAUCAAACCCUUUCUUUACCAUAGUAGUAUGUGUGAAAUGUAAAACCGGCUCCUUUUGUUUUCAAAGAUAAAUAUAAUAAUCAACAAAGAAUGUAGAAUGAUAUGGCUACAGUAUUAAAUUUUUUGCGCAGACAAGAUAAGGCAAGAUGAACGUACAAAACCGCCGAACCAUUAUUUUUGGCAAGCCUGUGCUUCACUGGUAGGCAAUGAAAGCUACAAUCCUCUACGUUAAAUGCUAAAUAGAGAGAUCGUAUGAAAAAUGAACCCCGAUACGUAGCAAAUAUUCCCCCCAAGAACUCUUUGGUUUCCAUUGCAGCUUAUUAAUUAUUAAAUUCAAAGAGAACACCUUAAGUUCCAAACUGGGACCAAUUCAGGAACCGGUCUCUUUGGUACAUUCAAAGAAGACCCAAACUAAUCUCGGUGGGAACACAGAAGAAUAUAACUCCAAAUAAAAGCUAACGUACAAUGUGGGGACAUGUUCCAUUUUCAUCUUGCCAUAUCCCGCCAGCUAUACUGUAACGACUAUUUAUUUUAAAUUUACAAUAAAUUUUAAAUGAUAAAAUACUGAAUUAAAAGUUACCGUAAUGUUUUGUAGAAAUAGUUAAAUAUCAAAUGUCAAUAAUCUUGAAAAUAAGUCCAUUAAACAAGUAUUCUAUGCGGAUAAACUGGUUUCUCAUCCACGGACAAUAAGGCACUGUCUUUUCAAGCUGAGCUGUUUAUAGUCCAGUGGCAAGUAUAUCCUUUGCACAACUCCUCUGCAUAGCUGCAUCUUUCACAACAAAACCUGAAACAAUACAAACACAGCAGCAGAAUUUUUCUUAUCUUUAUUUUUGGUGGUGGAUGGGGAGGGAGGUAGGAAUUUUCGUUAGCUAUGUUGGCAGUUUUGCACUUGUUUGAUAACGCAUGAAUGACGUCACGAAAUGACGUAUUAUUGAUGUGAUUAAAUUAAGAAUCAAUUAGGAUUGAUUCCGGAAAAUGGAGUUAAACUUUUAUUAAAACAGUUUAUCCUUAUAUGAUAA